AGAACGAAACGCUGGCGGCAUGCCUAACACAUGCAAGUCGAACGAGACCUUCGGGUCUAGUGGCGCACGGGUGCGUAACGCGUGGGAAUCUGCCCUUAGGUACGGAAUAACAGUGAGAAAUUACUGCUAAUACCGUAUGAUGUCUUCGGACCAAAGAUUUAUCGCCUAGGGAUGAGCCCGCGUUGGAUUAGCUAGUUGGUGGGGUAAAGGCCUACCAAGGCGACGAUCCAUAGGCUGGUCUGAGAGGAUGAUCAGCCACACUGGGACUGAGACACGGCCCAGACUCCUACGGGAGGCAGCAGUGGGGAAUAUUGGACAAUGGGCGAAAGCCUGAUCCAGCAAUGCCGCGUGAGUGAAGAAGGCCUUAGGGUUGUAAAGCUCUUUUACCCGGGAAGAUAAUGACUGUACCGGGAGAAUAAGCCCCGGCUAACUCCGUGCCAGCAGCCGC
rnacentral:rRNA from 1 species